AACGAGCGUCAACCCUUGUCCUUAGUUACCAGCACGGUUAUGGGUGGGCACUCUAAGGAGACUGCCGGUGACAAACCGGAGGAAGGUGGGGAUGACGUCAAGUCAUCAUGGCCCUUACGGCCUGGGCUACACACGUGCUACAAUGGUCGGUACAAAGGGUUGCCAAGUCGCGAGGUGGAGCUAAUACCCAUAAAACCGAUCGUAGUCCGGAUCGCAGUCUGCAACUCGACUGCGUGAAGUCGGAAUCGCUAGUAAUCGUGAAUCAGAAUGUCACGGUGAAUACGUUCCCGGGCCUU
rnacentral:rRNA from 1 species